AGCGAACGCUGGCGGCAGGCCUAACACAUGCAAGUCGAACGGGUCCUUCGGGAUUAGUGGCGGACGGGUGAGUAACACGUGGGAACGUGCCCUUUGGUUCGGAACAACUCAGGGAAACUUGAGCUAAUACCGGAUGUGCCCUUCGGGGGAAAGAUUUAUCGCCAUUGGAGCGGCCCGCGUCUGAUUAGCUAGUUGGUGGGGUAAAGGCCCACCAAGGCGACGAUCAGUAGCUGGUCUGAGAGGAUGAUCAGCCACAUUGGGACUGAGACACGGCCCAAACUCCUACGGGAGGCAGCAGUGGGGAAUCUUGCGCAAUGGGCGAAAGCUUGACGCAGCCAUGCCGCGUGAAUGAUGAAGGUCUUAGGAUUGUAAAAUUCUUUCACCGGGGACGAUAAUGACGGUACCCGGAGAAGAAGCCCCGGCUAACUUCGUGCCAGCCGCCGCGGUAA
rnacentral:rRNA from 1 species